AUUGAACGCUGGCGGCAGGCCUAACACAUGCAAGUCGAACGGAUCCUUCGGGAUUAGUGGCGGACGGGUGAGUAACACGUGGGAACGUGCCCUUUGGUUCGGAACAACUCAGGGAAACUUGAGCUAAUACCGGAUGUGCCCUUCGGGGGAAAGAUUUAUCGCCAUUGGAGCGGCCCGCGUCUGAUCAGCUAGUUGGUGAGGUAAAGGCUCACCAAGGCGACGAUCAGUAGCUGGUCUGAGAGGAUGAUCAGCCACAUUGGGACUGAGACACGGCCCAAACUCCUACGGGAGGCAGCAGUGGGUAACCUUGCGCAAUGGGCGAAAGCCUGACGCAGCCAUGCCGCGUGAAGGAUGAAGGUCUUAGGAUUGUAAAAUUCUUUCACCGGGGACGAUAAUGACGGUACCCGGAGAAGAAGCCCCGGCUAACUUCGUGCCAGCCGCCGCGGUAACAC
rnacentral:rRNA from 1 species